rnacentral:lncRNA from 1 species
CUGGGUCAGUUUAGGAUAUGAUCAUUUACUGAAUUAGAAAAAAUGCCUCAACUCUAAAAAAAUUUUCAACCAAAUGUAAUAUCUUGUCCCCAUGUUUGUCCAAAAAAAGGGUCAACGUCGGGACGACCUGCGCUGGCACAAGCCGUGCCUUCACCUGCCUUUCUUUUUCACUCCAUGGGGCACCUUGAGCCUACCCUAGAGUUUAUGAAAGCAACCCAAACUAUAUCAUGAUAUCCAUCCACCAGACUAAGACAAUCAAUUUCAUGCAACCACAGUUGGAAGAGAAAGGUCCCACUCCCAUAGCAAUUAACCAAAAGAACCUUCAAGCCCCAAAAGAUCCUUCUCUUUUUCCUCUCCUCUGUAACAACUUGUGAGUUGGGGCUCGUCCUAAACUCGUCCUUAUCUUCCCAAAUCCAAGGUGGUUAGAUUAAAAAAGAUUGAUUUCCCUUCUUAGAAAGUUGGCCGACAAAUUAUCUUCUACCGGCUUGCUCUUUUUGUCCUAGGGUCUAGUUCAAUGGAGAAAAUUUUUCUUUAUUGGAGUAUCUUUCUCGAAAAAUUGAUAUAUAGAUGUAUAAUAUCUGAAAAAAUACUUUCUCAUAUUUAAUUGAUUAUUAAAAAAAUAAUAAAUUUUAGAAUAAUUUUUAUUAAAUUAAGCAUAUAUUUUUUUAGAAAGAUUAUGUAAUAUAUUUGUUAUAUCUUUAAUAAAAAAAAGAACUUAUUUUAUUCUAUUUAAAAACUUAAGUAUAGUU